rnacentral:lncRNA from 1 species
CCAUCUUAGCGUGCGGAGGAGCGUGCACUCUUGGUUAGGCCCACAGACGAGCAUACACUCAUGGUUGGGGCCAUACUCAGAUAAUCAACAUGAGUAACGUUCCAAGCGAAGUGUUUAUUCACGGCUAAGCCCACAAUAAACACCAUUCACCUCACAUCGGAAUAGGCAGCACGAUGGACGGAGAAAAUCAGUCACUUAAUCUGGCUCAUGUUCAACCAGCAACCUGUGAGAAAUUAG